rnacentral:tRNA from 39 species
GGGCCGGUAUCUUAGUCUGGUCAAAGAAGUGGACUUUUAAUCCGCGCGCCGUGGGUUCGAAUCCCACCCGGCCCACC